CCUACGGGGUGCUUCAGUGGGGAAUAUUGGACAAUGGGGGGAACCCUGAUCCAGCCAUGCCGCGUGUGUGAAGAAGGCCUUCGGGUUGUAAAGCACUUUCAGUGAGGAAGAACGCCUGGUGGUUAAGACCCAUCAGGAAAGACAUCACUCACAGAAGAAGCACCGGCUAACUCCGUGCCAGCAGCCGCGGUAAUACGGAGGGUGCGAGCGUUAAUCGGAAUUACUGGGCGUAAAGCGCGCGUAGGUGGCUUGAUAAGCCGGUUGUGAAAGCCCCGGGCUCAACCUGGGAACGGCAUCCGGAACUGUCAAGCUAGAGUGCAGGAGAGGAAGGUAGAAUUCCCGGUGUAGCGGUGAAAUGCGUAGAGAUCGGGAGGAAUACCAGUGGCGAAGGCGGCCUUCUGGACUGACACUGACACUGAGGUGCGAAAGCGUGGGUAGCAAACAGGAUUAGAUACCCGUGUAGUC
rnacentral:rRNA from 1 species